rnacentral:tRNA from 1 species
AAUGAUGUGCGUGAUAAAAAGGACUACAAUGAUAAAGUAGCGAUGUUUUUAACCUUCAUUA